rnacentral:rRNA from 1 species
UACGUAGGGUGCGAGCGUUGUCCGAAGUUACUGGGCGUAAAGCGCGCGUAGGCGGCCAUCUAAGUUCGGGGUGAAAGGUUCAACGCUCAACGUGAACAGUGCCCUGAAUACUGGCUGGCUUGAGUUCGGGAGGGGGCAGUGGAAUUCCAGGUGUAGCGGUGAGAUGCGUAGAUAUCUGGAGGAACACCGAUGGCGAAGGCAGCUGCCUGGCCCAGAACUGACGCUGAGGUGCGAAAGCGUGGGGAGCGAACGGG